GACGAACGCUGGCGGCGUGCCUAAUACAUGCAAGUAGGACGCAGUUGCGAACGGGUGAGUAACGCGUAGGUAACUACCUAUUAGAGGGGGAUAACUAUUGGAAACGAUAGCUAAUACCGCAUACUAGUAGAUGGACCUGCGUUGUAUUAGCUAGUAGGUAGGGUAAUGGCCUACCUAGGCAACGAGACAUAGCCGAACUGGAGAGGUGGUCGGCCACACUGGGACUGGGACACGGCCCAGGCUACAUCGGGAGGCAGCAGUAGGGAAUCUUCGGGAAUGGGGGGAACCCUGACCGAACAACGCCGCGUGAGUGAAGAAAGUUUUCGGAUCGUAAAGCUCUGUUGUUAAGGAAGCGGUACUUAACCAGAAAGGGACGGCUAACUACGUGCCAGCAGCCGCGGUAAUUC
rnacentral:rRNA from 1 species